UCGACGAGUACCUACUCGAGUUACUCGCCGUUCGUUCACAAGCGGCGUUCACAAUUGUGUCGCUCGGUUGCGCACAACCACCACCAAAAUACACCAUCGUGUAUAGUCAUCGCUACUCGUCCGAAGAUAUCCCACGUGGUAGGAAGGAUCGAGUCACUGGUAAAUAAUGCGCUUGGAGAAUGAAAAUAA